CAACAACGUUUUUAAAAUGAGCACUCAACACUGUCUGAAAAGUACUUACUUAUUUCAAAGCAAAUCUCCACAUCUAAAGAAAGCUAGCAAAAAGCUAGCAACAACACGUCUGCGCUGGACAGAUGCAGUACCAGAAGGAUUAAAAUGAUCACUGUCAGCAGAAUUGCACCCGAGGCAAAUGACAAUUUCACUUCCACACUGUAGAAAAACGAGACAUUAUUUUCCAGUCAAGAAAUGAGAGGAGUUGGAUGUGGACAAGCGUAAAAAG